rnacentral:rRNA from 1 species
UACGUAGGGAGCAAGCGUUGUCCGGAAUCAUUGGGCGUAAAGAGCGCGCAGGCGGUCGUUCAAGUCGCGUGUGAAAGCCCCCGGCUCAACUGGGGAGGGUCACGCGAUACUGAUCGACUCGAAGGCAGGAGAGGAUCGUGGAAUUCUCGGUGUAGAGGUGAAAUUCGUAGAUAUCGAGAGGAACACCGGUGGCGAAGGCGGCGAUCUGGACGAUGACUGACGCUGAGACGCGAAAGCGUGGGGAGCAAACAGG